CGCUUCUCAAGUAUCUCUUGACAUGGAGCAAAUAUUAACAAAUUAUAUAUAUUACAGUAUAUUUAAACUACAUCCUUGCACAUUACAAACAUGUACAUCACACCUUUAGAACACGUAUAUCGGUGCCUUAUUAGCAUAGUAUGCAGUAUAUAUGAAGGAAGAGGAGGAAAGAUCAUCAAGAGAGCUCAAAACACAGAAGAAAAACCCUCAGUCUCCACAACAGAUUUUUAUUUGCAAUGCUAAACAAGACGCCUGCAUCAGUGCCCAGGUCCCAGCCCCAGCGUCCAUACACUUCAAGAGAUGCAUUAAGAUGUCAAACUGCCUUUUACUGAAAGGACGCCCAGGCAUGAAGGCCAGCUGCUGCCACACCGACCUGUGUAACUAACACAACCUCCGUCUACGAUACGGUCAAAUCCUGUACUUUCUUCACUGUACUAAGGUUGAACAUCCCUAAUCAAUGUACAUUGUUGGAACUGUGAAAAAUAAAUACUGUGAAGUAUAAAUACAAG
rnacentral:lncRNA from 1 species